AGAGUUUGAUCAUGGCUCAGAAUGAACGCUGGCGGCGUGCUUUACACAUGCAAGUCGAGCGAGGCGGGGAGCAAUCCCCAGUCGAGCGGCGAACGGGUGAGUAACGCGUGGAUAACCUGCCCUGAGGUGGGGAAUAACCCGGGGAAACUCGGGCUAAUACCGCAUGAAACCGAGAGGUCAAAGAGGGGAGCAAUCCUCUUGCCGCAGGAGGGGUCCGCGUUCGAUUAGCUAGUUGGUAGGGUAAUGGCCUACCAAGGCGACGAUCGAUAGCCGGCCUGAGAGGGUGAUCGGCCACACUGGAACUGAGACGCGGUCCAGACUCCUACGGGAGGCAGCAGUUGGGAAUUUUGCGCAAUGGGCUAACGCCUGACGCAGCAACGCCGCGUGGAGGAUGAAGGUCUUUGGAUUGUAAACUCCUGUCAGCAGGGAAAAAGCAAAUCGACCUAAUACGUCGGUGAGUUGAUUGUACCUGCAGAGGAAGCCCCGGCUAACUCUGUGCCAGCAGCCGCGGUAAUACAGAGGGGGCAAGCGUUAUUCGGAAUUAUUGGGCGUAAAGGGCGCGUAGGCGGCUUUUCAAGUGACGGGUGAAAUCCCUCGGCUUAACCGAGGAACUGCCUGUCAGACUGGAAGGCUUGAGACCGGGAGAGGUGAGUGGAAUUCCCAGUGUAGCGGUGAAAUGCGUAGAUAUUGGGAGGAACACCAGUGGCGAAGGCGGCUCACUGGACCGGAACUGACGCUGAGGCGCGAAAGCGUGGGGAGCAAACAGGAUUAGAUACCCUGGUAGUCCACGCCGUAAACGAUGAGUGCUUGGUGUAGCGGGUAUCGACCCCUGCUGUGCCGAAGUCAACACAUUAAGCACUCCGCCUGGGGAGUACGGUCGCAAGACUGAAACUCAAGGAAUUGACGG
rnacentral:rRNA from 1 species